rnacentral:lncRNA from 12 species
AACAGUGGUCGCCGCCGCCUCCGUAACCGCUGGCCUGGCCUUCCCCCGGGUGCGCGGCUCCUCUCGUGUUCUAGAUGCAAAAACGAGAUUGGCUCCCCGGGCGUCUUGCUCGAGCUGGAAAGCCGUUCUGGAAAGCUCUCCCGAAUACGUCAUGGUUCUUGCUCCUGCUGCUGUUGCGCGCUCCCGCCCGCACGGAUGCGUUUGUUGUGUGUGUGUGUUAACCAUAAAUCCAACAGCCGCCUUGGAAACAAGUUUAUCGGCUGCAGAGACCGUUUUUCUUUUCUUUUUUCUUUUUUCUUUCUUUCUUUUUCUUUUCUUUUCUUUUUUUUUUUUGCCUGCAGGGGCAAAACUGAGCUUGCCCGACAGACAUGCUCCGAGACGUUGGUUGAAAAUUAUUUUGAUCCUAUCCGUCGAUUUGCCUUUUUUAGGCAACUGUGAUGUGCAUGCGUGUGCGUGUGUGUGUGUGUGUGUGUGCGCAUCCGGUUUUCAUCCGUCUCUGAUACCCACCCCCGCAAAAACGGGGGCAAAAAAAAAAAAAAAGCAGCAGCAGCCGCCUUCCUAUCUUUGCAGCAAAAGUGGUCGUUGUUCAGGACGCAUCCCCCCACCCCCCACCCCACCUCCAGCUCCCUUGCAUGGAUGUGGGGGAAAAGCGAGAAUAUGUUCUCUGGAUAAGUUAGGGAUGGGGAAACAGAAAAAGAAAGCCAUGGUUGUCUGGGUGUCGCGGGAGGCGGCGUCUUCGUUGGUUUUAUUUGAGCUGCGCAGGUGCACGUUGGGUGGAGGGCGGCUCUCCCCGAAGGUGAGCCCGUGGGGCUGCCUUGGUGCCGGGGUUGCCAUGGCGACGGGGAGAGGCGGCUGGUGGGGUUGCGAGGCCUCUCCCACGUCUGGAUCCGCUCCCCUGGUUCCCCGGGUCCUGCCUUUCACACUCUUCUUCCCAUCCCCGUCCGAGAUUCCUGGGUUGGUCCCUUACAGGCACACGGGGGCGUGUCAGGUGUUGGUGUGCACUAAUAAUACAGGUGCAUUGGCUGCCUCGUGCACGUUUUCUGAUCAGAUGCCGCAUAUUCUAUGCAGGAUGGUCUUCGGUGAACCACCACUUUACCGUAGGGUGCCUGCCUUCUGCCUGCAACUAACACUACCCUGGACUGUGUGUAUCAGGAGAAUGCCCCAGCACUGA